rnacentral:lncRNA from 1 species
GCAGAAUUUACAGGACAUUAAGACGGCUGGCCCUCAGUCCCAGGUUUUGUGUGGUGUAGUGAUGGACAGGAGCCUCGUCCAGGGAGAGCUGGUGACGGCCUCCAAGGCCAUCAUUGAAAAGGAGUACCAGCCCCACGUCAUUGUGAGCACCACGGGCCCCAACCCCUUCACCACACUCACAGACCGUGAGCUGGAGGAGUACCGCAGGGAGGUGGAGAGGAAGCAGAAGGGCUCUGAAGAGAAUCUGGACGAGGCUAGAGAACAGAAAGAAAAGAGUCCUCCAGACCAGCCUGCGGUCCCCCACCCGCCUCCCAGCACUCCCAUCAAGCUGGAGGAAGGAGACGGAUGCGCUAGAGAGUACCUGUUACCCUAACCUUGUGCCGGAGCCGACUACUGGAGAUGACAGUGAUGCUGCCACCUUUAAGCCAACUCUCCCCGAUCUGUCCCCUGAUGAACCUUCAGAAGCACUCGGCUUCCCAAUGUUAGAGAAGGAGGAGGAAGCCCAUAGACCCCCAAGCCCCACUGAGGCCCCUACUGAGGCCAGCCCCGAGCCAGCCCCAGACCCAGCCCCGGUGGCUGAAGAGGCUGCCCCCUCAGCUGUCGAGGAGGGGGCCGCCGCGGACCCUGGCAGCGAUGGGUCUCCAGGCAAGUCCCCGUCC